UGCUUACAUAUUUAUUGAUUUAUCUUUUUAGUUAAAAAUUUCACAAAAACACAUUGUAUUGGGAAUUACUAAAUCCGGGGAGAUUUCCAUUUUACAAAUAUAUUAUUGGAGAGGGCAUGAUUGUGGGCAGGUGGGCUUUGACUUUGUGAGAAAGUUACUAAGACGGCAAUUUUGGGAAGCUCUCUGUGGCUGCAUUCUCCUGUCCAUUGGUAAGAUUUUGUUUUAGGCCAAUUUUACUUGGUGUGAAAUUUGGGGAGUGGUUAUAAGGGUGCGUGAGAGAAUAAUUCAGUAAGCUGGGCAUUAGUUUUACAUACCUUUCUGUAUUGGGGUAUUAUUUAACGAUGAGUAUUUUUUAAAUCUCUUCUUUCAAAAUGCAUGCAGCUUCUUGGGCUGUACACAGUGUGGUUGGUGCAGGUGCGGCCACAGCGGUUGGAUCCAGAGUGUCCCGUCAGGGCGAGGCCUGCCUUCAAUGGGGCUAUGUGGCCUCCGAAAAGGGUCAAACAACCAAGCACUAGAACACUAACAGUAACUCUCCUCCAAACAGCAGGAACCUUUAGGUAUUGCUUGCCUGCGGCCCGCACUAGGGGAGAGCACAAGGGCUGCGACCCGGCGCGGCUCUCGCUGCACCCCUGGCGGACCCCUUCCAGACGAGGCCGGCGGGAGGGGCGGAGCGGCGGGAGGGGCGGGGCCUUGCUCGAGGCCGGGACGGGGCGCACAGCCCUUCGCGGAGGGUGGGGUCGAGAAGGCGGCAGGCGGGGCGCGCUCGGACCUCCGCUCCUCACGCGGGGCGUUCGCAACCCGGACUUCGCGCCGCGGGGAAUCUUGGUGGUGUGUGUGGCCUGCUAGGUGAGGAGAAGCCACGGUUACUGAGCGCCCGGGGCUGGGGUCUCGCUGCAGCGCCAGCCCGGCCGCAGCUCGGAGGGACGUUCUCCUGGGAACUCUCGAUGGAAACCAGCUGGCCGUGCCUGGAGUUGAUGUUGCUUCUGAACUCUGCUGUGCUCACAUUAUUUCCAUUCCUCUCAUCCUGGUAAAGCCCGAGGAAGUUUUAUCCCGCUUAAUGAUCAGUAAAUAUAGGGGGA
ensembl:lncRNA